rnacentral:snoRNA from 1 species
UGGCCUGUGAGGAAAUAUUCAUUAAAAUACACCAUCUUUCGGGACUGAAUGGCCGAAAGGCCUUGCUGUCAUUCUGCAAUUCUGAGGCCU